GGCAGAUUAGGUAGUUGGUGAGGUAAAGGCUCACCAAGCCUUCGAUCUGUAGCUGGUCUGAGAGGACGACCAGCCACACUGGGACUGAGACACGGCCCAGACUCCUACGGGAGGCAGCAGUGGGGAAUAUUGGACAAUGGGCGAAAGCCUGAUCCAGCAAUGCCGCGUGAGUGAAGAAGGCCUUCGGGUUGUAAAGCUCUUUUGUCAGGGAAGAAACGGUUCU
rnacentral:rRNA from 1 species